rnacentral:rRNA from 1 species
GGAGGACCGAACUCACUAAUGUUGAAAAAUUAGGGGAUGAGUUGUGGAUGGGAGCGAAAGACUAAUCAAACCUGGAGAUAGCUGGUUCUCCCCGAAAUAUAUUGAGGUAUAGCCUCGCGAGGUUCGCACCGGAGGUAGAGCACUGGAUGGGCUAGGGGUCCCACAGGAUUACCAAACCCAACCAAACUCCGAAUGCUGGUGACGAUAUCGCGGGAGUCAGACUGUGGGAGAUAAGUUCCAUGGUCGAGAGGGAAAGAGCCCAGAUUACCAGCUAAGGUCCCAAAGUGUAUGCUAAGUGGUAAACGAUGUGGGGACACAUAGACAACCAGGAGGUUGGCUUAGAAGCAGCCAUCCUUUAAAGAAAGCGUAAUAGCUCACUGGUCAAGUGGCCCUGCGCGGAAAAAUAU